rnacentral:rRNA from 1 species
UGCCAGCAGCCGCGGUAAUACGUAGGGGGCAAGCGUUAUCCGGAUUUACUGGGUGUAAAGGGUGCGUAGGCGGCAAAGUAAGUCAGAUGUGAAAGCCCGAAGCUCAACUUCGGGACUGCAUUUGAAACUGCUUAGCUAGAGUGCAGGAGAGGAAAGUGGAAUUCCUAGUGUAGCGGUGAAAUGCGUAGAUAUUAGGAGGAACACCAGUGGCGAAGGCGACUUUCUGGACUGUAACUGACGCUGAGGCACGAAAGCGUGGGGAGCGAACAGGAUUAGAAACCCCCGUAGUCC